UGGGGAAUAUUGCACAAUGGGCGCAAGCCUGAUGCAGCGACGCCGCGUGGGGGAUGACGGCCUUCGGGUUGUAAACUCCUUUCGCUAGGGACGAAGCUUUUUGUGACGGUACCUAGAUAAGAAGCACCGGCUAACUACGUGCCAGCAGCCGCGGUAAUACGUAGGGUGCGAGCGUUGUCCGGAAUUACUGGGCGUAAAGGGCUCGUAGGUGGUUUGUCGCGUCGUCUGUGAAAUUCUGGGGCUUAGCUCCGGGCGUGCAGGCGAUACGGGCAUAACUUGAGUACUGUAGGGGUAACUGGAAUUCCUGGUGUAGCGGUGAAAUGCGCAGAUAUCAGGAGGAACACCGAUGGCGAAGGCAGGUUACUGGGCAGUUACUGACGCUGAGGAGCGAAAGCAUGGGUAGCGAACAG
rnacentral:rRNA from 1 species